rnacentral:tRNA from 1 species
GUGAGUGUAGCUCAGUGGUAGAGCACCUGCUUAGCAUGCGUGAGGUCCUGGGUUCAAUCCCCAGUACUUCCA